rnacentral:rRNA from 1 species
UCAAGCGAACAAGGGCGCAGGGCGAAUGCCUUGGCACUGGGAGCCGAUGAAAGACGUGAUAAGCUGCGAUAAGCUUCGGGGAGCUGCAAAUAAGCAUUGAUCCGGAGAUUUCUGAAUGAGGAAACUCACCUGGGUUCAUACUCAGGUACGUUAUACUGAACUUCAAAAUAGGUAUAUCGAGGGAACCGCCUGAACUGAAACAUCUAAGUAGGGCGAGGAAGAGACAUCAAACGAGAUUCCGUAAGUAGUGGCGAGCGAACGCGGAAGAGGGCAAACCGAGAGUAGAAAUACUUUCGGGGUACGGACUGCUUUUAAGACUUAAUCUGUUAACCGAACGGCAUGGGAAGGCCGGUCAGAGAGUGUGAGAACCACGUAGGUGAAAACGGAGAGAGCUGCGCAGGAUCCAGAGUACGGCCAGACACGUGAAACCUGGUCGGAAUACGGGGGGACCACCCUCCAACCCUAAAUACUACCCAGUGACCGAUAGCGUAUAGUACUGUGAAGGAAAGGUGAAAAGCACCCCGGGAGGGGAGUGAAAAAGAACCUGAAACCCUGUGCCUACAAGCACCUAGAGCGCGUCAAAGCGUGAUAGGGUACUUUUUGUAGAACGGUCCGGCGAGCGAUUGUAUGCAGCAAGGUUAAGGACUUAAGGUCUGGAGCCGAAGCGAAAGCGAGUUUGAAAAGGGCGUUAAGUUGCAUAUAAUGGGCCCGAAACCGGGUGACCUACCCAUGGUCAGGUUGAAGUGGAAGUAAAAUUCCAUGGAGGACCGAACCGACCUCCGUUGAAAAGGCGGCGGAUGAACUGUGGGUAGCGGAGAAAUUCCAAUCGAACCCGGAGAUAGCUGGUUCUCCCCGAAAUAGUUUUAGGACUAGCCUCAAGUUAGAUACCUGGAGGUAAAGCACUGAAUAGCCUAGCGGCCGAGAGGUUAGCGAAGCUUAUCAAACUCAGAAUGCCAGAGUAUUGAUGCUUGGGAGUCAGACAGUGUCAGAUAAAUGUCAUUGUCAAAAGGGAAACAGCCCAGAUCUACAGCUAAGGUCCCAAAGUCAGGUUAAGUGGAAAACGAUGUGAAGAUACGCAGACAACCAGGAUGUUGGCUCAGAAGCAGCCACUCAUUCAAAGAGUGCGUAAUAGCUCACUGGUCGAGCGUCUUUGCGCGGAGAAUUUAACGGGGCUAAACCUGACACCGAAGCUUAGGCAAUACAGCAAUGUAUUGGGUAGGGGAGCGUUGUAUACGCGGAGAAACAGUAGCGUAAGCGGCUGUGGAGUGUAUAGAAGUGAGAAUGCCGGAAUGAGUAGCGCGAAUGCAGUGAGAAUCUGCAUGGCCGAAAGCCUCAGGUUUCUGGAGGAAGGUUCGUCCGCUCCAGGUUAGUCGGGAGCUAAGGUGAGGCCGGAAGGCGUAGCCGAUGCACAGACGGUAGAGAUUCCGUCACCACCAAAAGAGUUAAGCACAGGGACACAUAUGAAGUCUCAGAGCCGGGUGUUGGUUCCGGUAGAGAUCGAGGGAAAUUAGUACCGAAGUCUGAGAUGGAAGAUGGCGAGAAAAGCUGUGUGUAUUUCUGAGGUGCCCGUACCGCAAACCGACACAGGUAGGUAGGAAGAAGAUUCUAAGGCCAACGGGAGAAGGGUUGUUAAGGAACUCGGCAAAUUGACCCCGUAACUUCGGGAGAAGGGGUGCUCCAGAGAUGGAGCCGCAGAGAAUCGGCCCAAGCAACUGUUUACCAAAAACACAGGUUUGUGCUAAAUCGAAAGAUGACGUAUACGAGCUGACGCCUGCCCGGUGCUGGAAGGUUAAGAGGAGAUGUGCAAGCAUUGAAUCGAAGCCCCAGUGAACGGCGGCCGUAACUAUAACGGUCCUAAGGUAGCGAAAUUCCUUGUCAGGUAAG